rnacentral:rRNA from 1 species
AGUGAACGCUGGCGGUAGGCCUAACACAUGCAAGUCGAACGGCAGCACAGUAAGAGCUUGCUCUUACGGGUGGCGAGUGGGGGACGGGUGAGGAAUACAUCGGAAUCUACUUUUUCGUGGGGGAUAACGUAGGGAAACUUACGCUAAUACCGCAUAUGACCUACGGGUGAAAGCAGGGGAUCGUCGGACCUUGCGCGAUUGAAUGAGCCGAUGCCGGAUUAGCUAGUGGGCGGGGUAAAGGCCAACCAAGGCGGCGAUCCGUAGCUGGUCUGAGUGGAUGGUCGGCCGCCCUGGAACUGGGCCACGCACCAUGCUCCUACGAGACGCACCAGUCGGGAAUGUUGGGCAAUGGGCGCAAGCCUGGUCCAGCCAUACCGCGUCUGUGACGAAGGCGUUCCGUUUGUAAAGCCGUUUUGUUGGGAAAGAAACGCUUCAGGUUAAUACCCCGCUGUUCUGACGGUACCCAAAGAAUAAGCACCGGCUAACUUCGUG